rnacentral:lncRNA from 1 species
UUUGAGGCUUGGUCCAUUUAAAAAUGCAUUUUAAUUCAUUUUAAAAUUGAUUUUUAAUUGUUUAAUUGAUUAAAAAUACGGUUGAGCCAUUUGAUUGACUUAGUGAUGUUUGACUUUCUGUUUGCCCUUGGUCAUGGUUGACUUGAACUUUUAUUUGAUCAAUACUAUUGGAUUUAGGGGGUUGAUAAAAUGUACAUUUCAUCCCCUAAGAUGAAUUGAUAGUAUUGAUCAGAUGGAUUUCCUCCUGUUAUUAAUU